UAUAUGGUCCCUUUAGGGACCACAUAAUUUUUAAAAGUUAUGAGUA
rfam:Papio anubis isolate 1X1155 chromosome 6, whole genome shotgun sequence.